AUUGAACGCUGGCGGCAGGCCUAACACAUGCAAGUCGAACGAGUGGCGGACGGGUGAGUAAUGUCUGGGAAACUGCCUGAUGGAGGGGUAUAACUACUGGAAACGGUAGCUAAUACCGCAUACCAUCGGAUGUGCCCAGCUGGGAUUAGCUAGUAGGUGGGGUAACGGCUCACCUAGGCGACGAUCCCUAGCUGGUCUGAGAGGAUGACCAGCCACAUGGGAACUGAGAAACGGGCCAGACUCCGACGGGAGGCAGCAGUGGGGAAGAUUGCACAAUGGGCGCAAGCCUGAUACAGCCAUGCCGAGUGUAUGAAGAAGGCGUUCGGGUUGUAAAGUACUUUCAGCGGGGAGGCGUUACCCGCAGAAGAAGCACCGGCUAAAUCCGUGCCAGCAGCCGCGGUAAUUC
rnacentral:rRNA from 1 species